rnacentral:rRNA from 1 species
UUAGAGUUUGAUCCUGGCUCAGGAUGAACGCUAGCGGCAGGCUUAACACAUGCAAGUCGAGGGGCAGCGUGGGGUAGCAAUACCCUGACGGCGACCGGCGCACGGGUGAGUAACGCGUAUGCAACCUUUCCUUGACAGGGGAAUAGCCCAGGGAAACUUGGAUUAACGCCCCAUAGUCCAGCUGGCCGGCAUCGGCCGGCUGGUAAAGUUCCGGCGGUCAAGGGUGGGCAUGCGUGCCAUUAGGCAGUUGGAGAGGUAACGGCUCACCAAACCGACGAUGGCUACGGGGUCUAAAAGGAUGGUCCCGCACAUUGGAACUGAGACACGGUCCAAACUCCUACGGGAGGCAGCAGUGAGGAAUAUUGGUCAAUGGGGGGAACCCUGAACCAGCCAAGUAGCGUGAAGGAAGACUGUCCUAUGGAUUGUAAACUUCUUUUCCGGGAGGGUAAAGUGGGGGACGGGUCCCCUAUUGCAAGUAUCCCGGGAAUAAGCAUCGGCUAACUACGUGCCAGCAGCCGCGGUAAUACGUAGGUGGCAAGCGUUGUCCGGAAUUACUGGGUGUAAAGGGAGAGUAGGCGGGACUGCAAGUCUGUUGUUAAAUCCAACGGCUCAACUGUUGGCUGCGGCAGAAACUGUAGUUCUUGAGUGAAGUAGAGGCAGGCGGAAUUCCUAGUGUAGCGGUGGAAUGCGUAGAUAUUAGGAGGAACACCAGUGGCGAAGGCGGCCUGCUGGGCUUUAACUGACGCUGAGGCUCGAAAGUGUGGGGAGCAAACAGGAUUAGAUACCCUGGUAGUCCACACUGUAAACGAUGAUUACUAGGUGUGGGGGGACUGACCCCUUCCGUGCCGGAGUUAACACAAUAAGUAAUCCACCUGGGGAGUACGGCCGCAAGGUUGAAACUCAAAGGAAUUGACGGGGGCCCGCACAAGCAGCGGAGCAUGUGGUUUAAUUCGAAGCAACGCGAAAAACCUUACCAGGACUUGACAUCCCUCUGACAGACCCUUAACCGGGUCCUCCUUCGGGCAGAGGUGACAGGUGGUGCAUGGUUGUCGUCAGCUCGUGUCGUGAGAUGUUGGGUUAAGUCCCGCAACGAGCGCAACCCUUGUCGUCAGUUACUAACAUUAAGUUGAGAACUCUGGCGAGACUGCCGAGGUUAACUCGGAGGAAGGUGGGGAUGACGUCAAAUCAUCAUGCCCCUUAUGUUCUGGGCUACACACGUGCUACAAUGGUCGGUACAGAGGGCAGCCACCUGGCGACAGGGAGCGAAUCUCGAAAGCCGGUCUCAGUUCGGAUCGGAGUCUGCAACCCGACUCCGUGAAGUUGGAUUCGCUAGUAAUCGCGCAUCAGCCAUGGCGCGGUGAAUACGUUCCCGGGCCUUGUACUCACCGCCCGUCAAG